AAAAUAUUCUCUUCCCCAGGGUGCUCAUCCAUUAGGCACAGAGAAAUUAAAUUCAUCAACUUUCCCAGGGAUUCAGCACAGGCUCUGGUAUGGACAGGAAGAUUUGGGAUAUCCUGCACUAUUGA